ensembl:lncRNA
UCUGUGUGUGUUAUAUGUCCCCAAGUAAACAGAGGACAGAAUGUGUGCGUGUGUAACACACAUUCUGAUAAAUGAAGACAAAGGGUUGGUAACUUAGACUUUCAGUGUGUGUGUGUGUGUGUGUGUGUUGGCUAUGUAAUAAGUAGAGACUGAGCAGAGGUAGAAUGCAUUCUCUCAGGUUUUAUUCAGGUUCCUUAGGAAGAGUUCUGUUUGGAGUUACAAAAUGCACUGGUAGAAAUAGCAGAGAGAUAGAUAAAGAGAGAGAAAGAGAGGGAUUUCAUAGCUGGAAUAACGGGACACAUAAUCACCAGAAUCAACAGGCAGCUCUCAAGACUCUCAAUCAAGGGAUUUUAGUUUUUCUUUAAAUAGGGAAAAAUGUAUUCCUUCGUUCCAUGUUGAUCUUUUCUUCAUUUUUUGUAAUGUAAUGCUUCAACAUUAUGUUUAAACUGUUAAAUCAUCUAUCUCCCCACCAUUGCAGUUCCCCCUUUAGUGAAAUAACUGGCAAAUAGUAUCAAACAAAAAACAUUCUUUGCAUCACCAAGGUUCUUCUUUGAAAUAAUUUUUUGUCUGUUUUUUUUGUCCAAAGCUUUUUUACCCCCAGUUUUUUUGUUUUUCAAAAAUAGAAGAAAAAAGGAACACAUUGCUCUUAAAAACAUCUAUCUAUAUAUAUUUAUACAUAUAUACUUUAUUUUUUUUUCUCUUUAUAUUCAUUUCUUUUUUUAAUUCCUGAAGUUGACUUAUUUAACCCCACGUAAUGGCAUGCACGUUGCACAUGCAAAUCAGUUAUUUAAAUACUUUACUUCUUUAAAUCUUAAAUUGCCAUGUAGUUAUGCAUUUUAUUUUCUCUUCAUACUUCCUAACGCGACUCCUGCCCUGUAUGGUUGUACUACUGUGGCACUGGACUGAUAUGAUCUGGCCUCUGUUGGAUUUGUGGGGAAAACAAUGUCUAGGAUCAGCUUUUCCCCUCGUCACUCCUAUGCUUCACCGUCAGGUGGUAAACACGGAAAACUGACCCCAGAGCAGUGUCUAGUGGGACAGAAUAAUGGCAGUGUGACGAUAUUGAUAACUUGAUGGUACAGUGAUAAAUAUGAUGUGAUAACUCAAUGUUAUAGUGAUAACUUGACAGUAUUGUGAUAUGUGAUAAUGGCGUUGUGAUAAUGAAACCGUAUGGAAUUGAGAAUGAUGGGGCCUUGAGGGUUUCCAUAGUGACAGUAGAAGACACUCCACUCUCUCAUAGGGAAUUAAUUCCAUCCACGGUCGCUGAGAAUCCUUGGGUGUGUGCUAAAACGUGCGCGCGCUCAAACACACACACACACACACACACCCACAAUGCCCCUACACAGACUAACUGAUGCUUCCAAACACAGGCACACACAGAUGUGAUACUCACCCAAUCUCUUGCGAAAAACAUCAUGACAACAGACACACUGCGUUAUGCUAUGACGGCCACUGUACAUUCACAUGUAGCUUAAUGCCGAAUGACUCUCGAAGCUCCAGUUCACCACCAUGUGUUGCCGUGUGUUGUGACGUGUGUGCAUGGCGUGUGACACGUGUGUGUGGCGUGAUGUGUGGGUGGAGAAUGAGUGAAAAUGAAUUUAAGCAAUGACCACUGAAUUAGACAUCCGAGUAGAGAAAGACACAGUGAAGAAGAGAGCCGGUUGAUGGAGUGAUUGUUUCAGAAGGUUUAUGGAAGAUGUACACAAGAGGAGUUUACAGAGCCAAUGUACAGGGAGAGGAAGAGAGGAGGACAGACCCAAUAAAACGAUCAUCUACUCCCUGCAGCC